UUUGGUUUUGGUUUUGGUUUUGGUUUUGGUUUUGGUUUUGGUUUUGGUUUUGGUUUUGGUUUUGGUUUUGGUUUUGGUUUUGGUUUUGGUUUUGGUUUUGGUUUUGGUUUUGGUUUCUCACUUCCUUCUUUGUUUCUGUGGUCAUGGUUCAGUGAAUGAAACCUAGCUUCCCAUAGCACAACUGUUUUCUUCAAAGGAGAAUUUGAACCAUUCCACUACUUGCAAUUCUGCAGAAUAGGAACUGACUGUGGCCUGUGGAGCUGUCAUAGGCUGGAAAUCAUCUGCAGUGCAGGAGCCAGCCAGGAAGGAGCUGGUGAAAAUGUUACUGCUGAGUCCACCUGUGCAAGAGCUCAAAAGACAUAGAUGCUGGAUAAAAGGCAGAUUUGAAGGAUGAGUGCAUUUCUCUCUUUGCACAAGACCCAACCAGCUUCUUCCAAGAGAAAAUUGACAACAUGUUAAGUAACUUUACUCUUUUUGCUUGUCCUCUCUAUCCUUGCUGCAGAUGCUAAUCUGGUAUCCUAAUCCAAUUGCGUGCCCCAGUGAUCUAAAUCCUCUACCUGAUUUCUCUCCUGCCCACUAGUUCUCUUAUUCUUUUCUAAGCCCUUCUCUUUCUCCCUUGUUUUAAGCAUGCAUAAAUGCAUGUGUGAUCUCUUUGAUGUUUUUGUACUUAAAAGCUACAUCAAU